UACGUCCUGCGAUGUGCGUUUCGGUUCUAUGUUGUUUUGAACCAAUGACGAUGUCUCGGGAGAUCUACAUUGCAUCAUGGCUGAAAGGCCCUAUCCAUGAGAUUUGGGGACUUCAAAAGUGAUGCUGCGAUCACCCACCUGCUAAUGGCAGGUUCGAGACAAUGUAACCGGACGGCAUAGGCGGGUCUUUU
rnacentral:other from 1 species